GAGGUUUUACAUCUUGAAUACUAUGGAAAUGAUGGUAGCAAAAUCAGAGGAUUGAGGACGAUACAUGCUCCAAAAUUGUUGUAACUGUCCUUGGAAGUGUGUAGUAGAAUCAAAUAUUGAUUGUUAGAACUCAGUUCGAAUAGAAGUAAAACAACAAAUUUAACUAUACAAUUAAUACAUGGUUAGUUGGUCAAUGUCCUUCCAGAACAUGAAUUUGAAUUGUGUGGAUGCAUACUACUACCUGCAAAAGCAUGAUAGACAUCAUCACCAUAUAUGUUUCUCUUCCUGUGUUUUGGUUGCAUUAUCUGUCAGGUAAUUCAUGAUUUCUCGAACUCCUACCUGAGCAGCAAAAUAAUGACAGAGAUUGUUACAGCAUUUGACUCACCUCUAUGAGCAGCAGUGAGUUGGCGAUGACCCUGAAAAAAAUAAGGGAACCAAAAGAGCUACAUUAAUUCCACUCUGAAGUAGUUUAACAAGUAUUGUAGGAAAUAUUUUUGAUCUAAAAACGAAACUAUCCAUUAGUUGCACAAUGAAUCUCUCGUGCUAGUUGUUCAAUCUAGCAGUUUGGUGGCAUGGACAGAACAGACUUUCAGUACUUCUUUCGUUUGAACCUUAAGACAUAACCAAGCACAUACAAGAUAAACCACCCAGCACACUUUCCUUGCUACAAGAGAGCAUACAACUGAAGCAGAUCUCCAUCCUUAAAAUUGUUGAUUUUUAUCAUAACAUUCCAAGAAGAGACAGUUUCCCGGUUAUUAAUUUAAUUUACAACUAAUUUCCCCGCAAAAGAUUGCUUUCUAGUUGGAGAUGUAGAAUUAAAAGAAUAUGUUAAGUUGGCUGGACACGUUAUUCCAUUCCAGAUAAGUAUUGCUAGAUUUAAGCUGGUUGGACAUGUUUUCAUUGUAAACUAAUAGUAUUGCAACUGUAUAUUUGCAUAAGUCGAUUACAACUGUGCGCAGGAAGACUCAUCCCAGCUUCUCGCUGGAUUACAGUCGAUUACACCACUUUCAGCUUGCUCUUAUGGCAGUCAGGUGUGAGCCCAGUUGUUUGAACAACAUAGAGGUACAAAAUUAAUUCAAAAUAGCCAUGAGUGACAUCUCAAUAUCCUUUCCAUCUCUCUCUCGGCUGGGUAGGAAAGAUGGGACAAGCUGCAAAUAUACAAGGUGGGAGAAGGGCCGGUUCGUACCUUCAGGAGAAGAAGCAGGCGCUAAGCCUCUGCCGCUGCUGGUAGCCCACCGGAGUAUCCCCUCUUCGCCGC
rnacentral:lncRNA from 1 species